UACGGAGGGUGCAAGCAUUAAUCGGAUUUAUUGGGCGUAAAGGACGCGUAGGCGGAGAUGCAAGUCAGGUGUGAAAUCCCGGGACUCAACCCCGGAAUUGCAUUUGAAACUGCAUCCCUUGAGGGUAGGCGGAGAAAACGGAAUUCCACGUGUAGCGGUGAAAUGCGUAGAUAUGUGGAGGAACAUCGGUGGCGAAGGCGGUUUUCUAGCUUAUUCCUGACGCUGAGGCGUGAAAGCAAGGGGAUCAAACAGG
rnacentral:rRNA from 1 species